rnacentral:lncRNA from 1 species
AUGUCAGGGCCCUCAAGAGGGUCAGUCUUCCUAUUGCUCUCAACUUUCUCAGGCUGUUUCUUUUUUUUUUUAAGGUGUUCCAGGUCUGUCCCCGCCUUGACUGACAGCAUGGUGGAGGGUAUGGAGCAAGGGGCUUUGGCAUCGGGUCACAGUGAGGUAUUCCAAGGAACCCAAGGACAAAGAACAGACAAGUCGCUGGACGUGGGGCCACAAAGCAGGUAUUGAAGGGAACAGGUUGUGGGCGGGACAUACUUAGACAGGGUGAGGUAAGAGGGAAGAGAUUCCCAGGAAAGAAGGGAGAUUUCCAAGUUGUGUAUAUGGCAGGAGGACCUUUGUGGAGUGUGGGGGAGGAGACAGAUUCCGGGGGGCUCGACCAGAGGGAUCCCACAGCACAUGAGGAGUCCGUUUAUAUUGGGGUCCAGCCUGACAACCCCAGGAAGGCUCCCCCUGCCCUCUCUUCAUCAUAAAGUAGAACCCAUGGGGACUGGAAGAUAAGUUUUGGACAGUGUCAACCGUGGUAGGUCCACAGAAGGUGUUCACUGCCUGACUGCCUUGAUUGAACUCCAGGAGAGGGGAGCCCUCUGCAUUUGUUUGUGGGGAGGCUCUGCCCUGCCCAAUCUGUAAGAGGGUGCAUUUGCACCCAUUGUCCUAAGUGAACUGAAGGCAAAAGGAGCCAAGAGAUGACAUUGAAGAUUAGGCUGGCAUUUGCGGUGCCAUGGAUGGACCUAGAGAUGAUCGUACUAAGUGAAGUAAGUCAGAGAAAGACAAACAUCAUAUGAUAUCACUUCUAUGUGCAAACUCAAAUACAAUGCAAAUGAACUUAUCUGUGAAGCAGAAGCAGACUCACAAACAUAAGAGAACAGACUCAUGGUUGCCAAGGGGGAUGGAUUGGGAGUCUGGGGUUAGCAGAUGAAAACUAACACGUAUAGAAUGGAUAAACAACAGGGUUCUACUGAACAGCACAAGGAACUAUAUUCAAUAAUAUACCUGUAAUAAUAUAAUAGAUAAUAUAUAAUAUAAUAAUAAUAAUAUACCUGUAAUAAACUGUAAUGGAAAAGAAAAAAAAUGUGGGCU